AACAAUUAAAAUAACCUUGGUGCCUCUCAUAAAAAGUUGUCACCUUGCCCCAGAUAAAUUUUCAAUCUUCCUCUCAAUUAAUUCUCAAUCUUCAUUU